AGCGAACGCUGGCGGCAGGCCUAACACAUGCAAGUCGAACGGAUCCUUCGGGAUUAGUGGCGGACGGGUGAGUAACACGUGGGAACGUGCCCUUUGGUUCGGAACAACUCAGGGAAACUUGAGCUAAUACCGGAUGUGCCCUUCGGGGGAAAGAUUUAUCGCCAUUGGAGCGGCCCGCGUCUGAUUAGCUAGUUGGUGAGGUAAAGGCUCACCAAGGCGACGAUCAGUAGCUGGUCUGAGAGGAUGAUCAGCCACAUUGGGACUGAGACACGGCCCCAACUCCUACGGGAGGCAGCAGUGGGGAAUCUUGCGCAAUGGGCGAAAGCCUGACGCAGCCAUGCCGCGUGAAUGAUGAAGGUCUUAGGAUUGUAAAAUUCUUUCACCGGGGACGAUAAUGACGGUACCCGGAGAAGAAGCCCCGGCUAACUUCGUGCCAGCCGCCGCAGUAAUAC
rnacentral:rRNA from 1 species